rnacentral:pre_miRNA from 7 species
UGUUCUUAAGCUUGACCUCCAGCCUGUGAUACUCAAACUGGGGGCUCUUUUGGAUUUUCAUCGGAAGAAAAGUGCCGCCAGGUUUUGAGUGUCACCGGUUGAGAACUCAAAACGGCUAAGAA